rfam:Populus trichocarpa scaffold_1_contig_620, whole genome shotgun sequence.
UCUAGAACUCGAGAUAUGGGCUUAACACUAAACAGUGUCUGGGCUGCAUGACAGAUUCAGACGUCUCUUUUGUUUCUAAGAUUUGAAUCUUGGACUCUUUAUGAAAGUUUUAGGCAUAUGUCUUAGCUUUCCAUC